AAAAGAAACUAACAAGCAUUCCCCCAGUAACGGCGAGUGAAGUGGGAAAAGCUCAAACCUUGAAUCUCCGUCGAUCUUCGACGGCGAAUUGUAGUCUCGAGAAGCGUUUUCUAGGCGAAUCCGUCCCGCCAAAGUUGCUUGGAACAGCACAUCAGAGAGGGCGACAAUCCCGUGCGUGGCGAAGACGGACUGCUGACGAUACGCUUUCCAUGAGUCGGGUUGCUUGAGAAUGCAGCCCUAAAUGGGUGGUAAACUCCAUCUAAAGCUAAAUAUUGGCACGAGACCGAUAGUGAACAAGUACCGUGAGGGAAAAAUGAAAAGAACUUUGAAAAGAGAGUUAAAAAGUACGUGAAACCGUUAAAAGGGAAACGGAUGGAGUUGGCAAUGCAUCGGCGAGAUUCAGGCGGGAAGACGGGCGACUGGACGGUUUGUGGAUUCCUGUGAACUGCAUCCGUCCAUCUCGACCGUUCCACCGUCGCAUUUCCCGUUGGUGCGUGUCAGCAACUGUUAGUUGGGGGCGAAAAGCCCUCGGGGAUGGUAGGUGCCACUUCGGUGUCACUGGAUAGCCUCGAGUGGCCGGGCUUCGAGCUGACAGAGGACGGCGACCUCGUCUUUAUCGUUCCGUCUUUCUGCCUACCGUGACCAUGGUGGACUGCGUGCAGUGCACUUGAACUUCGGUCUGGUCGAGGGGCGGUGCGUCUUGGCGGCGGUCGAGGUUGCUGGCGAAUACAUGACUUCAUCCGACCCGUCUUGAAACACGGACCAAGGAGUCUAACAUGUACGCGAGUCUUGGGGUGAUCGAAACCCAAGGGCGAAAUGAAAGUAAAACGCCCGUCCUCGGACGGGCCGGUGAGAUCCCGACGGUUCGUCCGUCGGGCGCAUCAUCGACCGAGCUUGUCUACUCUUAGACAGUUUUGAGUAAGAGCGUACCUGUUGGUACCCGAAAGAUGGUGAACUAUGCCUGAGCAGGGCGAAGCCAGAGGAAACUCUGGUGGAGGCUCGUAGCGAUUCUGACGUGCAAAUCGAUCGUCAAACUUUGGUAUAGGGGCGAAAGACUAAUCGAACCAUCUAGUAGCUGGUUCCCUCCGAAGUUUCCCUCAGGAUAGCAGGGACUCGGUCUAUCAGUUUUAUCAGGUAAAGCGAAUGAUUAGAGGCCUUAGGGUUGAAACAACCUUAACCUAUUCUCAAACUUUAAAUUGGUAAGAAGCUCGACUUGCCUAAUCGAAGCCGAGCAAUGAAUGAGAGUCCCUAGUGGGCCAUUUUUGGUAAGCAGAACUGGCGAUGCGGGAUGAACCGAACGUCGAGUUAAGGCGCCUAAAGCGACGCUCAUCAGAUCCCACAAAAGGUGUUGGUUGAUCCAGACAGCAGGACGGUGGCCAUGGAAGUCGGAAUCCGCUAAGGAGUGUGUAACAACACACCUGCCGAAUCAACUAGCCCUGAAAAUGGAUGGCGCUCAAGCGUCGUGCCUAUACUCGACCGUCAGGACGAAUGCGAAGUUCUGACGAGUAGGAGGGCGUGGAGGUCGUGACGCAGCCUAUGGCGUGAGCCUGGGUGAAACGGCCUCUAGUG
rnacentral:rRNA from 1 species